UACGUAGGGCGCAAGCGUUAUCCGGAAUUAUUGGGCGUAAAGAGCUCGUAGGCGGUUUGUCGCGUCUGCCGUGAAAGUCCGGGGCUCAACUCCGGAUCUGCGGUGGGUACGGGCAGACUAGAGUGAUGUAGGGGAGACUGGAAUUCCUGGUGUAGCGGUGAAAUGCGCAGAUAUCAGGAGGAACACCGAUGGCGAAGGCGGCAUCCUGGACCGAGAUUGACACUGAUGAGCGAAAGCCAGGGGAGCAAACGGG
rnacentral:rRNA from 1 species